rnacentral:misc_RNA from 1 species
UACGGAGGGUGCAAGCGUUAAUCGGAAUUACUGGGCGUAAAGGGCUCGCAGGUGGCUAGGUCAGUCGGAUGUGAAAGCCCCGGGCUUAACCUGGGAACUGCAUUCGAUACUGCCUGGCUAGAGUAUGGGAGAGGAAAGUGGAAUUCCCGGUGUAGCGGUGAAAUGCGUAGAUAUCGGGAGGAACAUCAGUGGCGAAGGCGGCUUUCUGGCCCAAUACUGACGCUCAUGUGCGAAAGCGUGGGGAGCAAACAGG